UCCCUUGUAGCUCAGUCGGUAAAGAAUCUGCCUGCAAUGCAGGAGAUCCAGGUUCGAUUCCUGGGUCGGGAA
rnacentral:tRNA from 1 species